AUCAAUGAAGUGUUCAGUGGUUGUGGCAUCAGAAUUUAGGUUCCAAUCAUUAUCAAACAUGGCUCCAAAUAGCGAAUUCCGACCAGCAUUCGCCAAAGUUGUAGUUGUCGUUUCAAAAAUUCUACCACCAACAUUAAAUUUCACCCUAUCUUUUUGAAUUCCCAUUAUUCAAAUUUCAGUAUCUGAUACUAGCCAGCAUUCGCCAAAGUUGUAGCUGUAGUUUCAAAAAUUCUACCACCAACAUUGAAUUUCAGCCUGUCCUUUUGAAUUCCCAUCACUAAAAAUUCAGUAUCUGAUACUAUGAGUCAAGAAAAAACAGGGGACUUGAAAUUCAAAGUUGAAUUGAGAAAACCACCUAACUUGGAAAAUAUUUAAACAGAGAAAAUAAGGAUACAGAAGCAAUAACUUCAAGAAUUAAAGUAGGUAGUAAUCAAAACGGAAUUUUUAUGAACAAAACAAUUAAUUAUACUGAAAAUUUUGAAUUCAAGACUCAAUUUUGCUUUUGAUCUUUUUCUUCUCUCUCUUUUUUGAGGUCUUCCUA
rnacentral:lncRNA from 1 species